rnacentral:lncRNA from 1 species
CAAUUCCUAUUAAAAUUCUGAUGAUGAACUUGGGCCUGGCAGAAUGGCUCCCGCAAAGAAGGGUGGCGAGAAGAAGAGGGGACGUUCUGCCAUCAACGAGGUCGUGACCCGGGAAUACACCAUUAACAUUCACAAGCGCAUCCAAGGAGUGGACUUCAAGAAGCGUGCUCCUUGGGCACUCUAAGAGAUCCAGAAAUUUGCCAUGAAGGAGAUGGGAACUCCAGAUGUGCGCAUUGAUACCAGGCUCAACAAAGCUGUCUGGGCCAAAGGAAUAAGGAAUGUCCCAUAUCGUAUUCGUGUGUGAUUAUCCAGAAAAUGUAACGUGGAUGAAGAUUCACCAAACAAGCUCUAUACUUUGGUAACCUAUGUCCCCGUUACCACAUUUAAAAAUCUACAGACAGUCAAUAUGGAUGAGAGCUAAUUGCUGAUAGUUAAAUAAAGUCAUAAAACUUAAAAAAAU